AGAGUUUGAUCAUGGCUCAGAAUCAACGCUGGCGGCGUGCCUCAGACAUGCAAGUCGAACGAUUAAAGCUUUCUUCGGAAAGUGUAUAGAGUGGCGUACGGGAGAGUAACACGUAAGUAAUCUACCCUUGGGUGGGGAAUAACUUAGGGAAACCUAAGCUAAUACCGCAUAAUGCAGCGGCUCCAAAAGGAGACAGUUGUUAAAGCAUUUAUGUGCCUAAGGAGGAGCUUGCGGCAGAUUAGCUAGUUGGUAAGGUAACUGCUUACCAAGGCGACGAUCUGUAGCCGGUCUAAGAGGACGGUCGGUCUCACUGACACUGAAUAACGGGUCAGACUCCUACGGGAGGCAGCAGUCGGGAAUUUUGGGCAAUGGGCGAAAGCCUGACCCAGCAACGCCGCGUGAAGGAUGAAGUCUUUCGGGAUGUAAACUUCGAAAUUAUAGGAAGAAUCAAUGACGGUACUAUAAAUAAGCUCCGGCUAACUACGUGCCAGCAGCCGCGGUAAUACGUAGGGGGCAAGCGUUGUUCGGAUUUACUGGGCGUAAAGGGUGCGUAGGCGGCGUGACAAGUCACUUGUGAAAUCUCCGGGCUUAACUCGGAACGGCCAAGUGAUACUGUUGUGCUAGAGUGCAGGAAGGGCAACUGGAAUUCUUGGUGUAGCGGUGAAAUGCGUAGAUAUCAAGAGGAACACCUGAGGCGAAGGC
rnacentral:rRNA from 1 species